rnacentral:rRNA from 1 species
UACGUAGGGGGCGAGCAUUAUCCGGAUUUACUGGGCAUAAAGGGCGCGUAGGCGGUAAUUUAAGUUAGAUGUUAAAUCCUGUGGCUCAACCAUAGUCCGCAUUUAAGACUGAAUUACUCGAGAUCAGGAGAGGAAAGCGGAACUCACAGUGUAGCGGUGAAAUGCGUAGAUAUUGUGAGGAACACCAGUUGCGAAGGCGGCUUUCUAGACUGAUUCUGACGCUGAGGCGCGAAAGCGUGGGGAGCAAACGGG